rnacentral:sRNA from 1 species
CUUCCUCACAGACAUCAACGGCCUCACUGAGAAGGCUCAUUUCCUGUCAUUGGUGAUGUUCAUGCUUCUCUGUCUCCACACAGGGGGCGACGAUGGCCUUCUGAGGGGCUGGGACACCAGGGUACCCGGCAAAUUUCUCUUCACUAGCAAAAGACACACCAUGGGCGUGUGCAGCAUCCAGAGCAGCCCCCAUCGGGAGCACAUCCUGGCCACGGGAAGCUAUGAUGAGCACAUCCUACUGUGGGACACACGAAACAUGAAGCAGCCGUUGGCAGACACGCCCGUGCAGGGUGGGGUAUGGAGAAUCAAGUGGCACCCUUUCCACCACCACCUGCUCCUGGCCGCCUGCAUGCACAGUGGCUUUAAGAUCCUCAACUGCCAAAAGGCAAUGGCUGUAGAAGACGUCCUGCUGGCCCGAGUGGGCGUGUUGAGCGAUUGCUGGAUGAAAGACUAGCGGAGGUCCUGCCUGCCCGGUGACGCUACCUCCCAGGGGACAGUAACGGCCUCCCCAGGGGCUUCCUCCCGUGGGUCGCCCCACACAUGCUGCUUGAGGGCCCCUGUGGCUGUCUCUGAACGUUCAGCAUCUCACUCCUCCUCGGAGCCAC